rnacentral:rRNA from 1 species
GGCAGCGCGGGGCAACCUGGCGGCGAGUGGCGAACGGGUGAGUAAUAUAUCGGAACGUGCCCUGGAGUGGGGGAUAACGCAGCGAAAGUUGCGCUAAUACCGCAUACGAUCUAAGGAUGAAAGCGGGGGAUUCGCAAGAACCUCGUGCUCCUGGAGCGGCCGAUAUCUGAUUAGCUAGUUGGUGGGGUAAAGGCCUACCAAGGCAUCGAUCAGUAGCUGGUCUGAGAGGACGACCAGCCACACUGGAACUGAGACACGGUCCAGACUCCUACGGGAGGCAGCAGUGGGGAAUUUUGGACAAUGGGCGAAAGCCUGAUCCAGCAAUGCCGCGUGAGUGAAGAAGGCCUUCGGGUUGUAAAGCUCUUUUGUCAGGGAAGAAACGGUGAAGGCUAAUAUCCUUUGCUAAUGACGGUACCUGAAGAAUAAGCACCGGCUAACUACGUGCCAGCAGCCGCGGUAAUACGUAGGGUGCAAGCGUUAAUCGGAAUUACUGGGCGUAAAGCGUGCGCAGGCGGUUUUGUAAGUCUGUCGUGAAAUCCCCGGGCUCAACCUGGGAAUUGCGAUGGAGACUGCAAGGCUAGAAUCUGGCAGAGGGGGGUAGAAUUCCACGUGUAGCAGUGAAAUGCGUAGAGAUGUGGAGGAACACCGAUGGCGAAGGCAGCCCCCUGGGUCAAGAUUGACGCUCAUGCACGAAAGCGUGGGGAGCAAACAGGAUUAGAUACCCUGGUAGUCCACGCCCUAAACGAUGUCUACUAGUUGUCGGGUUUUAAUUAACUUGGUAACGCAGCUAACGCGUGAAGUAGACCGCCUGGGGAGUACGGUCGCAAGAUUAAAACUCAAAGGAAUUGACGGGGACCCGCACAAGCGGUGGAUGAUGUGGAUUAAUUCGAUGCAACGCGAAAAACCUUACCUACCCUUGACAUGUACGGAAGCCACGANANAUCGAGGNNUGCUCGAAANANA